AUGCGGUAAAGGCGGGAGUGCGAGGGGUUAGGAAGGCUACGAAAGCCAUUUCUACCGCUGCUACCUAACCAGCCGUAGGGAGUUUACACAUUGUUGUAAUGUGUAAAUCUCUCUACGGUUAACAACAAACCCCUGUGGGGACAAUUACAUUUGUGUACAUGUAGACUUUAAUUUUAAGUCUCACAGUGCAUAGUACAAAUAUAUUGUUAUUUCUUCAAAUUAUGAUGAAUUCAUAUAUACAUUACUUAAUGUACAUUCGUACAUUAUAUGACGAAUAUAUUGGAGUAGUGUUACAUCAUUUGAUUAUGAUGAAAAAUAAUAUAUUUGGUAUAUCAUUUCUUUAUAACAAAGAAAUGAUAUUCGCUGGUUUACUAGCUCUGGUUCCAGCAAAGAAAAAAAGAAGGAAGCAAUUAAAUGCUACAGAGUGUUCUCGUUAAACCGCAAUUUUUUAAA
rnacentral:telomerase_RNA from 1 species